AUCUGGAUAGUUUAACCAAAAUAUUAGUUUGUGGAGCUAAAGAUAUAAUAAUAUUAUUUCAGAUA
rnacentral:tRNA from 1 species